rnacentral:rRNA from 1 species
GAUGAACGCUGGCGGCGUGCUUAACACAUGCAAGUCGAACGAUGAAGCCCAGCUUGCUGGGUGGAUUAGUGGCGAACGGGUGAGUAACACGUGAGUAACCUGCCCUUAACUCUGGGAUAAGCCUGGGAAACUGGGUCUAAUACCGGAUAGGAGCGUCCACCGCAUGGUGGGUGUUGGAAAGAUUUAUCGGUUUUGGAUGGACUCGCGGCCUAUCAGCUUGUUGGUGAGGUAAUGGCUCACCAAGGCGA